UGAGCGUGUGCCAACCUCGUGCCACCACGAUUGUUGCCUGUCUUUGUGCCGUGACGCAAGGAAUAUGCUCAAUGCGGUGUUUGUGUGAGGAAGCGGUGAGGUUGACACGUCACAGAUGAAAGCGCUUCCUUUUCAUGAGGGCUUUAGAAUCCUUCACACCUCACUUCAGUUUCAUUUACCUGCUUCUUAUAUCAUUUUGUCCUCGAUUGCUCAGCGUUCAACUUCAUUUCUGUGCGAUGCCUCGUUCCUUCUUGGUAAAGCGAGGAGGCCUCCAACCCUUUCGCUCAGAACAGAGAAUGACCAUUGGCCAAAAAGAAACGCGGCCCCAAGAGUCAUCCCACACCGCAUCUGCUCCACAGCGCCUCGAUACGGUUACCGUUGAUUCGCUUCAGCCUGUUUGUGGCGACCAACACUGUGAAGACAUUCCUGCGGUUCCCAAAGUUGAAAUGUGGCCCAGACUUCCGAGUUCCGAUAGACAAAAAUCAUCAGGGAUGGACUUCUUGCCUCGGAACGACUCUGACCGCUCCAAGAUGAUUUGUGCCAGUCAAGAGUGUCCACUAUGCGGAAAAGUUGGAUGUCAUUCUAUUAUUCUACAAAAACGUUCCACUGGGAAACAUUCUCAUCCCAAUGUGUUUUUGUUUUUGCAGCUAUUUACCCACUCGUGCACUUUUAAGAGGCACGUAUACAAGUGUCAUGGAAUCACAUCCUAUGCAAGAGAUCUUGAAUCGUGCAAGGGCAAGGACGUCCGAGCAUUCGGCUGCAGUGUUUGUGGAAAAGUGUUCAAGCGCUCGUCCACGCUGUCCACGCACCUUCUCAUCCAUUCUGACACGCGGCCCUACGCCUGCCAGUACUGCAACAAGCGCUUCCACCAGAAGUCGGACAUGAAGAAGCACACGUUCAUACACACGGGUGAGAAGCCCCACGUGUGUCACAUAUGUGGCAAAGGCUUCAGCCAGAGCUCCAACCUCAUCACACACACCCGCAAGCACCAAGGCGACUGGCCCCACCGCUGCCCUCGCUGCCUCUUCAGCUUCCAAGAGCCUGUGGACCUGUGGCAGCACCACUGUGCCCGCCGCUGACACAAUGUUUUUUUCAAGUUGUACUAAUAUAAUUAGAAAGUUUUUAUUUGGGGAAGACAUGUGAAUAUUAUUAUUUGAACCCCUUUUGUCUUAAGAUUGGAAAGAAAAAAAUACAUAGAAAUAUGAGACCAAGUGAAAAGAUUUUUUAUCCCACCGAUGACCGAGGCACAGCCGAGUUCAGAAUAAACCACUUUAUUUGGAACUAUAUACACAUGCACGCUUUGCAGACUUUGACACAGAAGGGGAAAGCUAAAUCCAAUUGACACCUAGCGCAGGAAACUCUCCGAUGGUCAGCACGCCUUCUCGGGUUUCAACGUGCCAAUCAACGUCUGAAAUGAUCCCAUUGUGUAAUUUCAUUAAAGAACGCAUCUCCGGGGCAAGACGUGUAGUUGACCGUCUGCCUGUGGCCGUGGACGGUGUAAUUGGCCACGAGCUUCCCCCCGCCCACCGCACAGCGCGUCAAGCGGCGGCGUACAAGGUCCAGGGCGUGAAGCGACGGAAGAGUUGACGUGUAGUUGCCGAUGAUCGAUACGCCGAAUCCGAGACUGUUGUGUCCUCGCGUAUGCGUGCCGAGGAUGUUCCAGCCCCGGCCUUCGUAGACGUAACCGUCCGAGCCAACCACGAAGCUGCCACAAUUGGGGCCAUGUAAAUUGUAUUAAAAGCCAAAUGAUUGGAAUUGUUUUGAAAUCCAAAGGAGACAUUUAGUAGAUGGUGAAAAGGGGUGUCACCUGUAUCCAAUGUCACUCCAGUUGCGGACCACCUGGUGGAAACGCUGCAUGGCUCUCAUGUCCCGGGAACACUCCGAGAAGGACAGGCACGGCUGCGAGGGCUCAUAGGUGUGGUGAAUGUAGAGAAAGUCAAGGGGUAAAGACAGUGGGAUGGGGGUUCCCUUGUAAGCCUUUGCCCUCCACUGGCAGCGAGAGAUGAUUUGAGGACAAUCUGCGGCAAAAGCUUAUUUUAGAUGCCACUCCUCUGUGAGGUCCAGACGUUAAUGCUCACCCAUUUGGCUUUGGCUGAAAUGGAGGUCUGGGACCCAUUCUCUUUGGGCUUAUUUGUGUUGGGGCCUCGGAUUACUUUUUUUUUUUUUUUAUACUUUAUUGCUUUAUUUUGCACUGUUGGGCAACUCCAAUCUGGUUAUACUAUGUAUAAUGACAAAUUAAAGGCAUUCUCAUUUAUUCUCAUGUGAAAUUUGAUGGGUAGGAAUAGUUGUUGGGGAUAGGAUAACUUUGAAACUUUCAGCCGUGUUUUGCUUAAUUUGUUCACUAUUCACACUCUUAUUUUGAAAACGAUGCUGUUUUUAUGUAUUUUCCAUCUCAUAGUUUCUUUAUGUUAAGUUGACGUCGUGUGGCUAAAUUUAUAUUGAAUUAGCGGAUAAUUUAACUUUUUGUUUAUACUUGCUUAAAAUCAUUUAAUAUGGAUCUACAUGGCCGACACUUUUUUUUUCCCCUUUCACUCAAAAUUAUUAACAAAAAUAUUUUCUAUUAAAGCUACUAAAGGACGUCUUGCGUCAUCAAUUCAAAGUUUAGCUUGCUGUCUAGCUUGGACUAAGCAUACAGGCGUUUUAGCGAGGACAAUGCAAUGUUCGAUCCAAGGUAAAAGUUAGUUUGGAAAUCCAACCGUGCUAUUCUUACUUACCCCAGUACUUGUGCACAAAUGCCUCUAGUCCCUUCUUCACCGCCUCGUUGACUCCUGUGUCCAAAGCCACCCACUCCGUCUUCUCCAACUUCCAGACUAGUUCAAGCGUGUCCAUCAGCUCCUUCUGAAGGUCAAGGGGCUCCAGAAUGGAUCGAGAGAUCUCCCUACGCCGUGGACUAACAUGGCUCGGCAAGGUAUCAAGACCCUGGCUUGCGUUCAGGGUAAAACUGUAGUAUUCUUUGAGGGUCUCACUCAGCGCACGUGGCUUUUCAGAUUUGGGGACUCGGCUGAUGUCCGUGCCCAGUAUUACUCCAUCCAUGCCCCCACUUAUAACUGCGUCUGUGGCCAGGGUGGCAGGCCAAGAGAGUUUGAACACUUUGGGGCGCUCCACACUGUCCCAGCACCCAUCAGGCCCCAGGCGAUUGGACACUGGGAUGUCCUGGAGGCUGAGAAAGGUUAACCCAAGUGUCCUUCCCAAGCAGCAAAGGUGCCAGGGCGACCGUGGUGCCGUCCCGGGUAAGCGUCACCCCUCGCUCUUCGCCGCUGUCCGUUACGAUGUGGUGGACUGCCUUGUCGAAGAAGCUGAAGGACGAGGCGUUGAGGAUGGCCGUCUCUAGCCCUUCCGCAUCCGUGAGGUUAUUCCAAGCCCCCAGGAAGUGGAUGGUCAUGGCGUCAUCAUGGCCGGCGGUCCUGCGCAAGGCUCUUACGAGCGCCAGUGGGGACAGACCCGGGUUGGAUUCUUCCACCUGUCGCACCGCAUCGAUGAAGUUGUCCAUGCUCCGCAGGUGGACACCUGGCGGCGUGGAAUUCCGUCUGAAUAUUUCUUUUUAAUUCAACACGACAUUUUUUGCAAAGUGAAACACGUAGUGAAAUGCGUAACUUCUCGGUUGUGCCUCAAACUCCUUGACAACAUUGCAAACAAAUAAUAUACAUGUUUAGAGCAAGGAAAACAAA